UACAUCCAAAAAUUUAGAUAUAAAAAAUUUUUUACACCUAAUUAAAUAUAACACAUUUUUAUAUUCAGUGCGUUUUAUAUUUGGUGAGUGAGAGUACUAGCAUUAUUGCUCUUUUAAAGAUUGAAAUCAAUUUCUGUUUGAAAAAACGUCGAGACACUAAUAUUUUCGUGCUAUAACUCUUGCGAAUAAACUUUAUUGCGAGUAGAUUACGUGUGUGUAUCGACGACGAAAUCGAAUUUCAUUCGCGGCCCGAUCAUAUAUCCACAUUAUCGAUAGUAGUCUGGAAUUGAGUUUGGAGAUUAAAAAAAAUUAAAGUAAAAGUAGUACAUGCACUACAAAUAAAAAAUAAACAGCUUUCUCUAUAUACUUUUACUUAACUUCACGUAAAUACAUCUAUGUCAUAUUCGUAUUUUUCAUACUACACAUUUGUAAAAUUUAUAAAAUUAAAAAAAAAAUUAGGUAUUGCAAAUAUAUUAUAAUAUAAGAGAGGCAUUAGAGAGGCACAUUUCAAUCAUAAAUCAUAACUGGUUUGGUUGGAGGCAUGUUUCAACCAAAUAUAUUUGUCAUCGUCACAAAAAUUUGGUUUCUUCAAAUAUUUAUCCUAGUGUACACACAGAGAAAUAAAAAAAGAACAAUCAAAUAUACGUUACGAUCUGUAUUUGGCACUAUUUUUAUAUAUUUCAGUAAAAGUGUUUUUUCCGUGUAUUAAAAUACCGUUUAUCUAGCCGCUUAAAAAAGAGCAAAACUAAUAACCAAAUAUUGUUCUAACCAUCACCAUAAUCAUCUAAAUUCGGCUCGUAUAAAUGUGACUUAUACAUGAUAAGAGAUAAGAGAAGAUAAAUAUGUUUAUACAUAUAAGAAAUACGUUCAUACGUAUUUAAAAAAAUAAUAUUGCCACAUCAACCUUAUUCAAAAAGCAUCGGUAAUAUUGUAAACAAAAAACAACGAUUCAAUAAACCACUUUAGUAAUCCGCAUUGCAAGGAUUAUCCGAGUGAUUUCAUAAUCAUGUUCUGUUAUACGAUACUACGGAUACACAUUCGGCUGCAGAAUUUUGCACAAUCAUCUAACGUCAACCAUUGGAUCUGAUAACAUUCUUUUCUCAUCGCUUUUUCAAUGUGUCCAUUAAACAACAACAGAGUGGAACAGAGUGGAUAAACGUGCGUGAAGAAAAAUUAAUCGACAUUGUCGAGAAAUCUGUCUGCGGUGACAACUACUGCGCCUUCCGAAAAAUAUCUCACGCAAAACCGUUAGUUGGAGAACUCAGAUUUAAGGAGCGUCUCAUAGGGAGGAUUUGUUCUACUUAUUUCAUUCUCAUAGGAUGAAAGAUUUCGGCUUGACACUACCUGGACCUGAUUCGGAAGAAUAUCAAAUAGUAGAUCGCUUAGUUCAGAUGUGGACGGAUUUUGCUAAAUCUUGGAUAUGUUACAAACUUAAUAUCUUUUUCCGAAUCUCCAAGUCUAAAUCCUUACAAAUUAUCGUUCACUUUUUGACGAUAAUAAUACAGCGAAAGGAUUAAGUUUCCAAUUUAAUGUGAAACAUGUUUAAUAUCUACAGAUUCAAUCAAUGUGAAAAGAAAUAAUUCAAAAUUCCAUUGAAUUGUGUACUUUGCAAAAUUGCAAAUGCAAAAAUUAGUAUAGUAGAAAAAACAUUUAAGCUGUUUGUCACUGUAUCAUUUAACAUAAGUUAUUGUAAAAAUAUUUAAAAGAAAGAACCAAGU
rnacentral:lncRNA from 1 species